ACGCUCGACACCUACGGGGGCAGCAGUUGGGAAUAUUGGACAAUGGAGGAAACUCUGAUCCAGUGACGCCGCGUGAAGGAAGAAGGUCUUCGGAUUGUAAACUUAUUUUGUCAGGGAAGAAAAAAUGACUGUACCUGAAGAAAAAGCACCGGCUAACUACGUGCCAGCAGCCGCGGUAAUCUGAGCGGGCUGGCAAGGC
rnacentral:rRNA from 1 species